GAUGAACGCUAGCGACAGGCCUAACACAUGCAAGUCGAGGGGCAGCACAUGAGUAGCAAUACGAUGGUGGCGACCGGCGCACGGGUGAGUAACACGUAUGCAACCUGCCUGUAAGAGGGGGAUAACCCGGAGAAAUUCGGACUAAUACCGCAUAAUACCACGAGACUGCAUGGUUUUGUGGUUAAACAUUUAUGGCUUACAGAUGGGCAUGCGUAUGAUUAGAUAGUUGGUAGGGUAACGGCCUACCAAGUCUACGAUCAUUAGGGGUUCUGAGAGGAAGGUCCCCCACACUGGUACUGAGACACGGACCAGACUCCUACGGGAGGCAGCAGUGAGGAAUAUUGGUCAAUGGGCGAGAGCCUGAACCAGCCAAGUCGCGUGAAGGAAGAAGGUUCUAUGGAUUGUAAACUUCUUUUGCAGGGGAAUAAAGGACGGUACGUGUACUGUUUUGUAUGUACCUUGCGAAUAAGGAUCGGCUAACUCCGUGCCAGCAGCCGUAC
rnacentral:rRNA from 1 species